GAAGAAGGUGUGAGAACUCAAAGGCCCUGCAGGAGGUAAGCUGGGUGAAUGCCACAGAGCAUGCCGGGUAGGGGAUGGGGGUGGUGAGCAUGGUGCACUCCAGCCAUUCUGUACAUGAUGUUGAGAGAUCCUGGAAGGCUUCUGUGACUGCUUAGCAUGAGGUCCAUCAUCUCAUGGAUGACAGGAAAUACUUGCUUGAUGUGUGACCUCUACCCAUGUCAUUAGAAGCUGUUGCCUGAAAACCCAGCACUUUUCCUUAAAAUUCCCCGCUGUCCCUGAGGCAGAUCUUCAGAACCAGGAGGCAGGUCACCAAGUAUAAAUGUGCCCUAACUCCCUUCAGCUCCCCAUAUCAAAUCUCAGUGCUCUGAGGACCAUCAGCAUGGACAGGAUUGAAGUCCUGCUGUUGACUCUACAUUUAGGUCCACCUUAUGCUUCCCAGGAAAGAGGCUAUGAUCCUUAACGUUUGAGGGUUGGAGUGAAGGAUGGGAGCUCUGGAACUAGGAUGUGACCUGCAGAAGGACCUGUGUAUCUGUAAUUCUGACUGAGCCUAGGAACUUUGCAGUCUGGGGUUUCUUCUUUCAUGAUGCCGAGGACUCUAAUAAAGGACCAUUUGCACUCUGGGUCAGUACUCUGCCACUGAGCGGUGGCUCCAGCUCUGUAUGGAUUUCCUGCACACAAUUGGCAUUUCACGGCAAAAAACUUAGUCCUGAGUGGUGGUUAUACUUAGCACUGCAAAUGAUCUUUACAGAACUGCCCUGUGCAGUUCCCAGGACCACCCUGAUGGGCUGGUUGCACUCUCGGGUGAGAGUCGAGGGAAUUGAAUCGGAUGGGGCUUCAGAGAUUCUCAAGAAUGGUCCAGGCCCUGACCUAUCCCUGCACCCUUCUGAAGCACUUUCUCUGUUCGUGUCUCAGUUCCAGGUUCUCUGAGUGUCCUGGAACCUCUUUAGACUGGUGUGAGAUGAGUAUUUCUGAUUCUUGUCUCUCAAGAUUGUCUUGUCAGUAUG
rnacentral:lncRNA from 1 species